rnacentral:rRNA from 1 species
GUGCCAGCAGCCGCGGUAAUACGUAGGGCGCAAGCGUUAUCCGGAAUUAUUGGGCGUAAAGAGCUCGUAGGCGGUUUGUCGCGUCUGCUGUGAAAACGCGGGGCUCAACUCCGCGCCUGCAGUGGGUACGGGCAGACUAGAGUGCGGUAGGGGAGAUUGGAAUUCCUGGUGUAGCGGUGGAAUGCGCAGAUAUCAGGAGGAACACCGAUGGCGAAGGCAGAUCUCUGGGCCGUGACUGACGCUGAGGAGCGAAAGGGUGGGGAGCAAACAGGCUUAGAUACCCUGGUAGUCCACCCCGUAAACGUUGGGAACUAGUUGUGGGGGCCUUUCCACGGUCUCCGUGACGCAGCUAACGCAUUAAGUUCCCCGCCUGGGGAGUACGGCCGCAAGGCUAAAACUCAAAGGAAUUGACGGGGACCCGCACAAGCGGCGGAGCAUGCGGAUUAAUUCGAUGCAACGCGAAGAACCUUACCAAGGCUUGACAUACACCGGAAACGUCCAGAGAUGGUCGCCCCUUUUUGGUCGGUGUACAGGUGGUGCAUGGUUGUCGUCAGCUCGUGUCGUGAGAUGUUGGGUUAAGUCCCGCAACGAGCGCAACCCUCGUUCUAUGUUGCCAGCACGUUAUGGUGGGAACUCAUGGGAUACUGCCGGGGUCAAC